GUGAGGAAUUUUCCGCAAUGGGCGAAAGCCUGACGGAGCAAUGCCGCGUGAAGGAUGAAGGCCUAUGGGUUGUAAACUUCUUUUCUCAGAAAAGAAUUAUGACGGUAUCUGAGGAAUAAGCAUCGGCUAACUCUGUGCCAGCAGCCGCGGUAAGACAGAGGAUGCAAGCGUUAUCCGGAAUGAUUGGGCGUAAAGCGUCUGUAGGUUGUUUAAAAAGUAUUCUGUCAAAGAUUAGGGCUUAACCCUAGAUAGGCAGAAUAAACUUUUAAGCUAGAGUUUGGUAGAGGCAGAGGGAAUUCCCAGUUGAGCGGUGAAAUGCGUAGAUAUCGGGAGGAACACCAAAGGCGAAGGCACUCUGCUGGGCCAAUACUAACACUGAGAGACGAAAGCGAGGGGAGCAAAUGGGAUUAGAAACCCGUGUAGUCC
rnacentral:rRNA from 1 species